AUUGAACGCUGGCGGCAGGCCUAACACAUGCAAGUCGAGCGAGCGGCGGACGGGUGAGUAAUGUAUGGGGAUCUGCCCGAUAGAGGGGGAUAACUACUGGAAACGGUGGCUAAUACCGCAUACUAUCGGAUGAACCCAUAUGGGAUUAGCUAGUCGGUGGGGUAACGGCUCACCUAGGCGACGAUCGCUAGCUGGUCUGAGAGGGUGAUCAGCCACACUGGGACGGAUACACGGCCCAGACUCCGACGGGAGGCAGCAGUGGGGAAAAUUGCACAAGGGGGGCAAGCCUGAUGGAGCCAUGCCGGGGGUAUGAAGAAGGCCUUCGGGUUGUAAAGUACUUUCAGCGGGGAAGCGUUACCCGCAGAAGAAGCACCGGCUAACUCCGUGCCAGCAGCCGCGGUAAUUG
rnacentral:rRNA from 1 species